rnacentral:ncRNA from 2 species
CGACGUCUUCAGGGCGGGGUGCGAUUCCCCACCGGCGGUAGGUCGCCCAGCGACGAGCCCGCGAGCGCCUUGGGCAGCCUGCGAGUUCCUCGCGCAGGUUGCCGAAGGGUCAGCAGAUCCGGUCCGAUGCCGGAGCCGACGGUCAUAGUCCGGAUGAAAGAAGACGGCA